AGUAAUGCACUCUGCAGCACUCGACCCAAGUCAGGCAACCAGCUCUUCUGGUCUUUUCGCUGGCCACUGUGGUCCAGGUCAACACUCUGGUCCAAACCAUCCUGCACCUGUUUUCCGCAAGCUCACGAAAAGGCCCGAGGACGUUAUCAAGCGACUCCAGGCGAGAAUUUCCAGCUACAGAAAGGCGAUAGCCAGACUGCGGAAACAGCAGCUGAAGACGCCUCAGACAGCUUCUCAAGCUCUGGAAAUAAUUCGGCCUCAUGUUUCUGAAGAGGUAUUUCACCUCAUAUCAUCGCAUGUAAAGAAUAGGUCGAAGGGCAAGGGGAAGCGAUUUUUAC